AAGUCGAACGUGAAGCCAGGUGCUUGCACCGGGUGGAAAGUGGCGAACGGGUGAGUAACACGUUGGUGACCUGCCCCGAGGAGGGGAAUAACCGUGGGAAACCACGGCUAAUGCCCCGGAUGUCACGGUGUUAGAGGCUGUGAACUAAAGUUCCGGCGCCUCGGGAGGGGCCUGCGGGCUAUCAGCUAGUUGGUGAGGUAACGGCUCACCAAGGCCAAGACGGCUAGGGGGCGUGAGAGCGUGGCCCCCCACAAUGGAACUGAGACACGGUCCAUACUCCUACGGGAGGCAGCAGUGAGGAAUAUUGCCCAAUGGGGGAAACCCUGAGGCAGCAACGCCGCGUGGAUGAAGAAGGCUUUCGGGUCGUAAAAGCCUCUUCUGAGGGAAGAAGGAUGACGGUACCUCAGGAAUAAGUUCCGGCUAACUACGUGCCAGCAGCCGCGGUAAAACGUAGGGGACAAGCGUUAUCCGGAUUUACUGGGCGUAAAGCGCGCGUAGGCGGCGCGGCAAGUUGGACGUGAAAGCUCCUGGCUUAACUGGGAGAGGUCGUUCAAAACUGCCGGGCUAGAGGAUGAGAGAGGAGAGCGGAAUUCCCGGUGUAGUGGUGGAAUGCGUAGAUAUCGGGAGGAACACCAGUGGCGAAGGCGGCUCUCUGGCUCAUCCCUGACGCUGAGGUGCGGAAGCGUGGGGAGCGAACGGGAUUAGAUACCCCGGGUAGUCCACGCUGUAAACGAUGGAUACUAGGUGUAGGAGGUUAUCAACCCCUUCUGUGCCGCAGCAAACGCGAUAAGUAUCCCGCCUGGGGACUACGGCCGCAAGGUUAAAACUCAAAGGAAUUGACGGGGGGCCCGCACAAGCAGCGGAGCGUGUGGUUUAAUUCGAUGAUACGCGAAGAACCUUACCUGGGUUUGACAUGCAGGUAGUAGGGAAGUGAAAGCGGACCGACCCUUCGGGGCGCCUGCACAGGUGCUGCAUGGCUGUCGUCAGCUCGUGUCGUGAGAUGUUGGGUUUAAGUCCCGCAACGAGCGCAACACCUGUCGUUAGUUACAAGUGUUCUAGCGAGACUGCCGGUAUCAAACCGGGAGGAAGGUGGGGAUGACGUCAAGUCAGCAUGG
rnacentral:rRNA from 1 species